CUGUGUGGUGCAGAAUCGACAAAAGCCUGGUGAGUGUGAAGGAUGCUCUCAAGGUCAGAGCUGACCCGGUGCAUUUCACGAGGGCCUUUCCUCCUGCUUGUAUUUAAUAUUCCACACACUCUAUCUAAGGAGAAAGACAGGCAGCCUCUAAAAGAGCCCACGAGGAUGCCUACAAUCGGCUGGCUCUCUAAAGUGCAAGUUGCUAGGAAACCUGUCUUCCAUCGUGUUUUUUUGUCCCAUGAACUGGAACCAGAGGAAAUGGCCUCCAGACUUUGGGCCCAGAGAGACUCCACUCGGAGGUCACACCUGUGGACCAACAUCUCGCUUGGAAGAGCAAACGCAGGAACGAAGAAAACAAAAUAAAAUCUCUUUUCUCAUGCA